ensembl:snRNA
GCGUCAUAGGAAAGGAGAUGGAGAUAGCCCUCCCCUUCACAGGGAUGGAAGAGGGUCUUGUAGGCCAUUCAGCACAUACACAUUUAAGGCAUUGCUGCCUGCUCAUGCUUUUCUGUUUCCACAAGUAAAAGUGGUU